GCGCUCUAUGGAUAUAUGAUAGGCCUAAAUACCUGUACUAAGCGAUGCACUAGAUAAGCAAGUGGCAUGGUGUAUCUGUAUUAACUACCUAUCUGUACCUGUAUUCAUUGAACAUCGCUUAGUAAUUUGUAUUAUCCAAAGGAACGUCUUUCACGAAAUAAAAGAAAUGCGAUAUGUAACUUUGACCCUGGUCUUUGUAAUUAAACAAAAGUUACGGUAAAUUUAUUUCUUUAAAAAUGGCGCUUUCAUUUAUUGAUGUGAGGCCAUAUGCCUGAAGUGCUAUCUAUAUAAUAAUACGCUUGUGUGAGUAACCAUGUGAGUCCACGACACGCAAAGUUACGAGAUGGCGUUACGCUAAAAUUUACCAAGUUAAAAAAACGCAAAUCAGGGGGUUACUAUUUAAACUUUUAAUUCUUUUUUUUCGUUAUUUUAAAAAAUAAAACUCAUUUUUUUAUUAUAUUAACAAUAAAUUUUUAUUUUUAUUUCUAAAUGUUUCUAUUUGUUUAUUUUUUGUUUUAAAAGUCCUGUUGGUCGUUAUAGAUAGAAUAAUUUGAUUUUACCCCCGGAUUAAUGUGCACGCCGUAUCUAAGGGAAACAAGUUGUUUAUCGACUGAAAAAAGAAAACCGAAUCAAAGAAGGUUGUCUGUUUUUCAAAGUAAUCCUGGAAAAAGUUAUUUCAAACAAUGUUUACUCAUCAUAAGGUUAAUUUAAAGCUUAUUUUUGUUUUUCUAUAUUUUCCAUUUUUGUGUUCUGGGACCGAGGUUGCUUCCUUUCAUAAAAAUUCUAUCGGAUUUGAAUAUGAAUGUAAUUUGAAUCUGAAAUGUAAAAAACAAAAAUGUUGUUGUAGAGCGGCUUUUGUUGUCGAGCGAGUACAAAAAGUUUAUUUUGUUGUCAGAAAUAUAUGUUAUAAAGAAGAAAAACGUACGACGAUGAAAUAUAUCAGCCAAUUGUAGCUAGCUAUACAUUUUCCAUUUGUUUUCUUUGGUAUGAAGCGAAGUUUAGUAAUCGAAGUAAAAAACUGAUUGAACUUUUAUCCAGAGAACGUUAGCUACUACUGGGAAAGCGAAAGAAAACCAAGUGUGUUAUAGCUUUUAUCUUUCAGGAGCCAACCUGUGUCUUCAGAAAGGUGAUUUGGAGGCUCCGUUGUUAUUGAUGACAUCCAUAACUGUGCAACAUACUUUGUGCGAUAAAUCUUUUGACGCAACACUCAUAAACAAGGUGGCAGAGAACUUCCAUCAAACUUCUUAUCACAUGGAAUUGCUUCAUUUUCUCCUCAUGUAGUUUGAGAUUCUUCUGCUUGAAGUUCCAUAGCCACUUUGGCAAUUGCAAGAUCGUAUGUUACGAAAUGUUUUUCUUACAACAUUUAUUUGCAAUCACCUGUGCACGUCUCAAUGAUUCUGCUACUACAGCUAUAGAAGUUGGGAACUGAUUAAUUUGUGGCAGGUACCAAACUCUUUUGCAUAUUGUUGGUAUUUGGAAAAAUUAUAGAAUUUCAGCCAACCUACGUUGGUGCAGUGUCGGGUGGAAAAUAAAACCCAUCAUUCACAAGGUAUCGUACAUGCGUGCUUUGAUAUAUGAGAUUGGUUCUGUACUCCUCUCUUGUCAUCUAGUGGAAGCAUUAUUCUUGUUAACUUCUUAGGUUUUUAUCUGUACGGCUCUAUGUCUAAUCCUGAAUGAUGAGGAAUAGUCUUACAACAAAGGAAUAGUCUUUGUACCUUAUGAGGUCCAAUUUGAGUUUCUGUUCAGAUCUUUGUCUGACCUGCUGAUAGGACCGCAUUUUUUGGUAAGCUCGACCAUUUAUGUAUUACAUAGUUAGUAUAGAACACAAAUACUGAGUUUGGGCUU